AUGAAGGGUGCGGGAGAGACCCUGUAUGGGGCGCCGAAGGGGAAAGCGAAGGGUCGCGAAACUCUCAGGCAAAAGGACCGCAUCCCGACA
rnacentral:ncRNA from 2 species